GAUUGGGCUGCUUGAUUUUUUGUAUUUUAUAUUUUAUAUUUUAAUUGAUAGAAUAUGACAACUAUUCUCAAUGGAUCUGCAAAUUACUCUUGCGGACAAAUGUUGUAAAUUCAAUUGAAGAAACUGCCAAUCUGGAUGCCAAGGAGGACACCACGAAGUGAACGUCACAUGGGCAUGCCAUGUCGGUGCUCUAGGAGGAUGAUUCUCCUAUAAGACUCGAAGACUACAUUUGGGAAGGAGGAGGAUUCUGUGAAGUAAGCCAAAGUUAGUUAUGGAAGAAUGUGUAUAAAGCCAUAUGAAUGUAAUAUGUGAUCAGCAGGCUGAAGUAGUUAGUUUGUUCAGAUUUUGUCUCUGAAUUCCAAUUCCCCUAGGUCUUUUGGUGUUGAAUCGUUUGUUUUACAGUUCAG
rnacentral:misc_RNA from 1 species